rnacentral:lncRNA from 1 species
AGUCCACAUGAUUGAACUGCCUGGCCUUCUGUGGUUCCGCGGCAUUUGUGACUCCGUCCCUUAGGUUAAGAAGAAAGCACGUCAUUUGUUCGGUUGCCUAUUUGUCUUCAUAGGUACAAAACUGCUUUUGUCCCCAAUCUUUAUUCACGAUUUAUUUAGAGCUUGUUUAGUUACACCUAAAAACUAAAAACUUUUUAAGAUUCUCUGUC